rnacentral:rRNA from 1 species
CAGGGCAAGGCUAGUGUUGAGAACACAAGGUCUUGUCGUUGCGAGUGCCCUGCUCUAAUAAGGCUGCUACGGGCAGAGAACAACAGAUGGUACAUUGCAGAGCAUAGAGAUACUCACAACCACUCGCUGUCAACUAAUUUCGGUGAGACAAUCCACUGGCCCUCACACAAGCACAUAGAUGUGUACACGAGAGAUCUUGUGAAACAGUUAAUGUAGAACAAUGUGAACUUAGCAAAGGUGUACAGUAUCAUCGAGGGUUUCUUUGGCUCAAUGGAAAAUGUUCUGCUCACGAAGAGGUCGUUGCGUAAUAUAUGUCGGAAGAUAAACAAACACCAUGCAGAAGAUGGUGUGAAGAAGACAAUGGAUGUGUGUGCGGAGAGCUAA